ACUAAAUAGAUACCCGGGGUACGGUUCCACGCCCUUAAACGAUGUUCCUACUAGUUUGUUGGUGGAGUAAAAUCCAUGAGUAAAACGCAGCUAAACGCGUGAAGUAGACCGCCUGGGGAGUACGGUCGCAAGAUUAAAAACUCAAAGGAAUUGACGGGGGCCCGCACAAGCGGUGGAUUAUGUGGAUUAAUUCGAUGCAACGCGAAAAACCUUACCUGGCCUUGACAUGCCACUAACGAAGCAGAGAUGCAUUAGGUGCCCGUAAGGGAAAGUGGACACAGGUGCUGCAUGGCUGUCGUCAGCUCGUGUCGUGAGAUGUUGGGUU
rnacentral:rRNA from 1 species